GAUAAAGCAUUGAUUGGGAAUAGUAAAUAGUUUGUUGUACGUCAGAGAGUGAGAUUCAUUGGCUGAAAAAUCUCAUCGUAUUAUACCCUAUUGAACCUGUCCAUGAGCUGUUAGUAAAUCAUACUAAUCGUUUAACCAGCGUUAAUGGUGAUGAGUGGGUAUAAUCAUACCAAUGAAGGUGGUACCGCGGAAUGAAACUCCGUCCUUUUU
rnacentral:ncRNA from 1 species